ensembl:lncRNA
GUGAACACAAUUUAGCCUAUUUUUGGAGUGGGCAACUCUGCUUCCAGAUUAAUAUCUUUGUCCCUGUCUUCUGUGAAAAAGCCUGCUCAUGAUAAUCUCAGACUCAGGCAUGGAAAAUAUAUGGUUCUCCCAAAUGCUGAGAAGUUCUCACUGAAGAUAGAGUCACCACACCUACCUCUUGUGACCGCAGAGGGUACCAUGAACAGCUGGCUUGCUGCAUUGUUUCUGGAUUGAAGAUGUGUCCCAUGACUGCAGGACAUUAUAAAGCACAGGAGUUCACUACAUGACAACCAGGAAGCAGAGGAGAGUUACCAGAAUGGAUCAGAUCCAAGAUGUACCCUCCACAGUGUCUGUCUCUGCUGCUCAGUGACUCUGCAACUCAAAUAAUAAAGCCAUGGUUGCUCUCUGCAUCCUGAGAAGCACACACUGGAGGAGACCACUUCCCUAAGCAGGCUGUCCUCAACAGAGAGAUGGGAAGGUCAAUUGAAAAACAUGCGUCCUCAGAGGGAUCCUUUCUGGGCAGAUUAACAGUGACUUCCAGGGUUUGGAGUCCUGCUUCAGUUGCAAAAAGGAUGGUUCCCCCCAGCUUUCAGAAUCAGGCAGAAACAUGAGACUGCUGUUGUACCUGUGAAGAAUUACUACACCAGGGUCAGUUCUCACCGGUCACCAUGAGACAUUCUGAGAGCUUGGAGCUAUAACAUUUGCUGUCAGUCUCAUUUAACAAUAUCACCCUAAUCUGAUCAGGAGGGAAAUUUUCUCCAUGUGGAUAUCUAGAUGGACCAUACUGAGGACAUUGUGAAUGACAGGGGAAUAGAUACCUGAAGGGAAUCAUGCCACUGACUCUGAAGCCAUGGCUUUUACAUUAAGGUCUGCCAUCCCUGCCACAGUCCAUGAAUCCUUUAUCAUCUACAAGGAAGAUGAUUCACUUUGAAAAGCUUUUUCUGAUAGAGACCAGUGUGCUGUAUCAUCUUUGGAGAAAUGCCUAUUUAUUUAGAUAUUUAGAUGUGUUAUUCAGGAAGAGAAACUGAAGGGCAACCACAUGCUGACUAUGGCCAAGAGCCUGGCUAUGAUCCACAGGAAGAUUUUCAGAUGCUUAAGCUGCCAUACACAUUGAGGUGGGAGAGAGAAAUGAGUCAGCAGCCCGGAUGGAGAUCUCCAAGAGUCUGUAUGUGCUAAACACCAGGAUCUCACACUCUUCAAGAAGGCCACAAUUUUAGGAUCUUAAGGGACCAACAGAUGUAUGUGACCACCUGCUGCAGACGAAGGAAUAGUGCAAAUUAUUGCUUAAUCUUCAGGACAAUUUUGGAUACAGCAUGCAGAUUUUUCCUUCAGAGCAGGCCUUGAAAAUAAAGAGCCCACAUCACCCUCCAUGCUUUAUUUCCCAUCAAGUGCAUGAAGAAAAUUUUCUGACUAUGGGAUAUUGGUAAGUGAACAGAUCUAUGCAUACAUCAGUAUGCCAUUAGGACUCAAUGUAUCUGUAGCUUAAUGAAAGAAAUAUGUUUUACACAAAUAUGUGACCAUUCUAGUCUCAGAUUCUUGGACAUUUUAUCGGUGUGGGAUAUUUCUUCAAUCCAGUAGUGUUAAUCAUAAUUUAAAAGUAGUUGGUUUAUACUGCCAUUAUAGUUAAGCCACUCUGUCAGCAAGAUGUCUGAAGACUGCCCACUAUAUUUUAAUUUAGGAAGUGUAGGUAAAGAUGGUGAGAAUUUUUGUUCAUUCUAUACAUUUGAAGAUAGAGGUUUCUGUCCCUGCCAGGUUCCACAGCAGCAUUGAACCAAAUAAACACAGAAAGACUUAUAUUAAGUAGAAGACAUGUGGCCUCAGGCUCAAGCUUCUUGUUUCCUAGCUCUGCCUUAAUUGUUAACCCAUUUCUAUUAUUCUGUGCAUUACCACAGCCUGUGGCUUACCCAUAAUAUGUCAUGUUAACUCCUUCAGCUGCAUGGUGUCUGUUAGAAACCUCUCUCUGCCUUCCUCUCUCUCCAGGAUCUCCUGAUAUCUUACCCCUGACUAUGCUUCAUGCCUGGCUGCUGGCCAAUCAUUUUUAAUUGUAUAAAAGAAUGUAUAAAAGAAACAUAUGUACCGAAGGACAUCCCCUAUCAAACUUUCAUCAUAUGUAGUUAAUUGGACAGAAUUUUCUGAGUGCCAGAUGUAUUUAUGUUCUAUGGUAAAACAAUUAAGGAGGAUAUUCAAAGAUAAGUUCUUCUAAUUGCAUUGGCUAGUAUAACCAUGUUUGGAUAUAUUCUGAGACUAUAGGAAACCCAAUAGCCAACAAGUAAAUCAAAUAACUCUGGAAACUGAGAGAUAUAUUUCUUAUGCUUCUUCCUAUUAUAAGAAUUACAGUUGUUACAAUAUCUCUCCAGUUAUAUCUCAGUGCAUUUCAAUUUCUUGCACUGAUUCUGUGUUUAUCCAUUUACAUAUACUUGUGUUUGCAUCCCUUUCCUACCUGUGAUAUAAGAGCAUGUUAUGUAUUAUUUUAUACUUCUUUGUGUUUCCAUCGGAAAUACAAUCUGCUCUUCUAAAUGUCAAAAUUUAUAACUUUUAUUAUAAAAUUAUUUUAUCCUGUAUAUACAAAUGCACACUUACUUAACACAUAAUGUGUACUUAAUCUUCUGAUUAUGAAUAACUAUAUUUAAUAUUGACACUUAGAAAGGAAGGUCUAUUGUUGUUUUGUUUUUUGUUUAUUUGUUUCUUUAUUUACAUUAGACAAGAGUUCUUUUUUCCUAGUACUCAUAGUUUGUCAGAAGUUUUUCAACUAAGUGUCUGGAGUCAAGUGAGGUUUCUCUCUGUGUUGGAAUGACAAUAUUUGGUGUGAUUGUAGUAAACUUUUUGUCAUUUUGUUGGUUUUGUUUGAAUUGUUUUUGGGUAUUGAAGUCAUCAAAUUUCUGAGCUUUGAAAUUCCCUACUCCUCUUUCCGGAAACUCUGGUCACAACAGAUAUCGUUUUCCACUGAACCAAAAACAUUUCUGUCCAUUGCAUGCAAUAUUUUCUGUGUCUGAGAAUAGUAGAAAGUUGUGUUAUUGAUCAGUUGUGGUUGGACACAGCAUUGUAAGUCCUUAGCCAUUUGAGCAGUUGUGGAAAUGUGUAACAUGAGGCCACUGGCAGUGAGACCAGGAUUUAUCCCUAGUGCUUGAAGUAGCUUUAUAAAGCUCAUUCUCUGGGAAGGAUACCUUGCUCAGCUGACAUAUAGGAGGGAGGGUGUUGGUGCUGCCACAAAAAGAUGUGCCAGACUUUGUUUUCACCAUUGGAAGGCUUAUUCUCUCUGAGGCAUGGAUGGGGUGGUUUUUGGGAAGGUGUGGAUAGCAGGAGGAGAGGAGAGAUUGGGAACAGGGAUUGGUCUGUAAAAUGAGAAAGAUUGCUUUAAAUUUUAAAAUGUCUUUCAUCAAAUUUUUAGGCAAGAGAAUGUAGUGAAUAUUUUCAAAAUUUCAAUAUUCACAUAUUAGUACUGAACAGAAUAUUUCAAAAUCAUAAUUGGCACUGAGAAUACAAAAUGAAUGUCAAAUAUAUUCAGAUGUGUUAGUAACAAACCACACAUAAAACCAUACAAAAAUUGUGAAAUUUUUCAUAAUAUACACAUAGUAGGAAUUUCUUUCCUAAAUACAAUACUUCAGAUCAGUGCAUAAAUAUCUUCACAAAGUUAGAUAUGGCAUACAAACUAGAGGUAUUCAGAAGAGGACUUGAAGCUAACAAUUCCAUGAACUAUUAAAGGUCCUUCUUGUACAUAUAGGAGAAAACUAAAUUUCAACCAUAUAUGUCACAGUAGAGUUUUUUUCCUAUUAACAGCUGGGGUCAGACACAGCGUAUAUUACAUUUAUUCUUAUCAUCCACUUUCAGUUUUACCGCGUUUGCUACAACACACUUUUGAGUGGGAGAGAAGAAGAAUCAGCACCUCAGAUGUAGAAAUUAAGUAUUAAUAUAGGAUUUGCCUUCAGUGCUGGAAUUAAGAUAACUCUCCUAUUCCUUGCCUGAUUUGAAUGCACACAGUCCAUCAGAGGCCAGGAGUGCUAAUAAAAGCAUCAGUAGCACAGCUUCUUACAUGUCAGUCUCAGGCUGUUCUCUAGGACUCACUUGAUCCUGGAUAUGACCCAAGCCUGAUUGUACUGACUCAGACAAUGCAGACAGCUCCUGACAUCUAACAGAGGCAGAACCUGUGGGAUUCAGAAAAGGCAGGGAUUGUUUGCUUCUCGGCCCAGAAGGGCUUAACAAGAAAAUUUGCACUUACGAUGUAAUCACUGCUUUUCCGGCACUAAUGUACAUAUAUUAGACAGUGCUAAAAUUGAAGAGUGAAUCUGACAGGACAUAUCAGAAAACGCAAGCAACAAUCAGCCCUUAGCACCCACGAUUCACAUCAUGAAUGUCCAGGCAUUAUCCUGGGCUUUCAUAAAUUUAGUCCGGAUGUAGCCCCAAGCAACCUAAUAUAUAAUUGCCCUCCUAUCUGCCAGCAGUUUCUAUUUUUUAUUUGGAUAACUGGAGUUUUGUCCAGUAGAAAUUAUGUCUUCUCGUGUUGUCUGCUUUCAGUUUCCCUGCUUCUAGGUCAGCACUCGUUUAGGUGGGAGGGAGAAAUGAAUCAGCAGUUCUGAUGGAGAUUUCCAAGAGAACAUCAGGAUUUGUCCCCAGUGCUGGCAUUGAGAUCUCUCUUCUUAUUGGCUCCUUUCCCAAUUGAAAUGCACACAGCCCUUCAAUCAGAAGCAAGGGGCCCUAAUAAAAGUGUCCACAGGGAAGCUUCUUACCAGUAGGGCUCGGGCUCUACUCCAGGACUCAGGAGUUCCUGGGUAUAACCCGAGCCCUACUGGACACUGAACCAGACAAGGCAGACUGCUGACAUCUACAGGAGUCAGAGCCCAUGAGAAUCAGCAAAGACAAGCAUUGAUUGAUACACGGCACAGGGGGCUUUCAGUGAAUAUUUCCACUUAUAAGCAUUUCAUUACAGGCAAUCAUAAUAUAUUUUGGAGAAAAGCUAACAUGAAUUAUUGGGGAAUCUGACAGGGUAUAUUAGACAAUGUAAGCAACAAUCGGGUCUUGGCAGCUCUGAUUCACAAUCAUGCAGCCCCAGGUAGAUUCAGGGGAUUUCAUACUGAUAGCCAGGAUGUAGCCCCAAACAGUCUGAUAUAUGACCAACCCCUAAUUGUCACCAGUUCCUGUGUUUUCUUUUUUAUUAUUGGAGUUUUGUGCAGUUAAAAUUAUAUUUUUCAUGUACACGUUCAAUUUGGCUGCUUCUCUGGCAGCACACGUUUUAGUGGGCAGGAGAAAUGAAUCAGCAGUUCUGAUGGAGAUGUCUAAGAGAACAUCAGGAUUUGCUCCCAGUGUUGGCAUUGAGAUCUCUCUUCUACACGCACAAUUUAAAUGCACACAGGCCUUCAUUCAGAGGCAUGACAUGCUAAUAAAUGUGUCUGCAGUGAGGCUACUUAUCAGUUGGGUUCAGGCUCUACUCCAGGACUCAUUUGAUCAGUGGUAUAACCCGAGCUGACUAUACACUGACUCAGACAUGGCAGACAACUCCGGCCAUUUACGGGAGUCAGGGCCCAUGGGAAUGAGCAUAAGUAGGGAUUAUACUUCUCAGUCAUCUGUUCCUGUCUCCUAUGCAGGAAGUAGAAUCAUGCUCUGGAAGCUAUUGUUUCUUUUUUAAAAUCUGACAUCCCUGUCUAAGUCUUGAAGUGUUGUAUCAUGUGCAAGGUAGAUAGUUCACUUCUGGCUAUAAUUCAUAUCAAUUUUGUAAAUUUGAUCAUUGAGGCUUUAUGAAGACAAGAACCAUCACAAAGCAGUACCUCAAGCCUGCAUCAUAAAAGAUCCCACAUCAACCUGUUUGUUUUAUUUCCAAUCUAAUGCAUGAAGAAACACUUCUGACUAUGGAAAAUGGAUACAUGAACAGAUCAAUGGAUAAAUCAUUUCAUCAUCAGGACUCAGUUUAUGAAUAACUGAAUGAAAGGAUUAGGUUUUGCACAAGUCUGUGACCAUUCUAGUCUUGGGUUCUUGGGCAUUUUAACAGUAUGGGAUAGUUCUUCAAUUCAAUGAUGUUAAUCAUAUUUCGUAAAAGUAGCUUAUAUUCUCAUGAUCUUUUAGCCACUAUGUCAGCAUUGAAGAGUAUCAAGUAUAUUUGGCUUUUGGGCGUGUAGAAUAAGAGAGUGAGAUGUUUGUUCCUCCAGAACUUUUGAAGUUAAUGUUUUGUGUCCUGCCAGAUUCCAUAGCUUCUCUGACCCAAAGAAACACACAAAGACUUAUAUUAUGUAUAAAAUGUUUGACCAAUGGCUCAGAUGGCUUGGUUUGCCUUAAUUGUUAUCAAAUUUCUUUUCAUCUCUGCAUUGCCACAAGGCUGUGGCUUACACUUAAUCUGGUAUGUUACUCCUUUGGCAACAUGGUGUUUGUUAUGGGCAAACUCUCUGUAUUUCUCUCUCACCAGCCUUCUUCUGGACUGGUGUCCCUGCCUAUGCUUCCUUCCUGGCUGCUGGACAUUCAGUGUGUUUUUUUUUCCUCCACCAAUAUAAAGAAACACAUAUGCACAAGGGCACCCCCUUUCAAACUUCUAUCCUAUGUACUUAGUUGGAGAGAAGUUUCUCAAUAAAGCAGGAUCUUCAAAUACAUUUCCCCAUAUUUAUGUUGCCAGGUAUAACCAUGAUUUUAAUAUUGUCGAUGAGCCUCUAAAGGGAGACUAUAGGAAAACAUGUAGUCCACAAGUAAAUCAAAUAUCUCUGUCAACUGAGAGUGAUACUCCUUAUGUAUCUUCAUGUUAUAAGAAGUCUCUAAGAAUGUAAUAGUGUAGGAAAUGGUAAAACAGGACCUUAUUUUCAAAAAGCAGUAAAAGGGAACAGGGCAUUUCAAGAUUCAGAGAUUUGAAACAAUUAAACAAAGCACUAAGAGCAAUAUAAGAACUAUAUCAGAUAUAUAUAUAUAUAUAUAUAUAUAUAUAUAUAUAUAUAUAUGAAACAUUUAGGCCUCAUAGCAUGAUGAAUUGUUAGGAAUAAAAGAGUAAGUUUAGGCUGAGAUGAUAUAGAUCUCAUAUCUAUAUUGACAUAUCUAUAAGUGACAGUGAUAGGAAAUUAAAGAGUUGAGUGGGAGUGGAAUGUGUUGUUAACACUGGUGUGAAAACAUUACUCAGAGUUCUCUAGUCCAUAAUAGCUUUGUAAAACGAAAUCACAUAAUAAAGUAUUUUAAAAUGGCUCACAAUAUACUCAGUUAGUCUUCUAACAACUUGUGCUUUAAAGACUCUGCUGUGAAAUGCUAAUUUUGCAUGAUGCUGUCUAUAUUGAAACCUUACUUUCCCAGCAUAGAAUUGCAAGCCACUCUCUGAUAUCUGAAUGAGGUUAGUAUUUGAAUUUAACCUGACCCUCAGUCUCAAUAACUGAAAGAUUUACAUAGAUGCUAAAUACCUAAAAAUCAUCAUAGUGAGAAAUUCCUAUUUUCUGCAAUUCCAUCAAAAGCAAUACAAAUCUAGUAAGAAACAGUAUUGUCAGAGAGAAGCAAUUGAAAAAAAAAGUUCUUAGCAUGUCCCAUAGUCUUUUACUUGUAAAAGAAAUUUAAAUAAAAAAAUUGAAAAGAGAAGGUUUGGUAAUCUAUCCAGGGUUAUUUUUAUGCAUUCCCAAUGGUUAAGUUUUAUUUGGAAGUUUAAUAUGUUUGUUCAUGUACUGUAAGGGAGAAAUUCAUAUACUAGCACACUUUCAUUUGUCAUUUCCUUGUCAUAUCAUAAUUCUUCCAUUAUUGGUUGAGUUGCAUUGUUUUAAUAUUUUACAUAACU